rnacentral:rRNA from 1 species
CGUGUAGGCGGCUCAUCAAGUCUGGUGUGAAAACGCAAGGCUUAACCUUGCGUAGGCGCUGGAAACUGGUGGGCUUGAGUUCCUGAGGGGAAGCUGGAAUUCCAGGUGUAGGGGUGAAAUCUGUAGAUAUCUGGAAGAACACCGGUGGCGAAGGCGAGCUUCUAUCAGAGGACUGACGCUGAGGCGCGAAAGCGUGGGGGGCAAACAGGAUUAGAUACCCUGGUAGUCCACGCUGUAAACGAUGUGCACUAGGCGUGGGGCCCGUACGGGUUCUGUGCCGUAGUUAACGUGUUAAGUGCACCGCCUGGGGAGUAUGCUCGCAAGGGUGAA